AGAGUUUGAUCCUGGCUCAGGAUGAACGCUAGCGGCAGGCUUAAUACAUGCAAGUCGUGGGGCAGCAUGAGUAGCAAUACUUGAUGGCGACCGGCAAACGGGUGAGGAACACGUACACAACUUUCCGUCAAGCGGGGAAUAGCCCAGAGAAAUUUGGAUUAAUACCCCAUAAUAUAUUAAAAUGGCAUCAUUAUAAUAUUAAAGCUUCGGCACUUGAUGAUGGGUGUGCGGCUGAUUAGGUAGUUGGCGGAGUAAUAGCCCACCAAGCCUACGAUCAGUAGCUGAUGUGAGAGCAUGAUCAGCCACACGGGCACUGAGACACGGGCCCGACUCCUACGGGAGGCAGCAGUAAGGAAUAUUGGACAAUGGACGAAAGUCUGAUCCAGCCAUGCCGCGUGAAGGAUUAAGGUCCUCUGGAUUGUGAACUUCUUUUAUAUGGGGCGAAAAAAGGGCAUUCUUGCUCACUUGACGGUACCAUAUGAAUAAGCACCGGCUAACUCCGUGCCAGCAGCCGCGGUAAUAC
rnacentral:rRNA from 1 species